AAAAUAUGAAUUUAUGGGGAAAUAAGUAAAAUAGGAUCGCGAAUAUCUAUUAAAAUGCGAUAAUUAGUUCUCUUUCAAUUUAAGACAGAAAAAAAAUCACCGUGAUACUACGAAAAUGUUAUUCUUAAAUCGUACAUAUAUAAAAACAUAAAUUAAUCGUUUGUCCGUGAAGAUUGGGCCAAACAUAAGGGCCGAAAUGCACCGAAUACAUAUUUCAGUGAACAUUAAGUUCAUUAUAUGGACCAAAAAUAAACAUUAACAAACGGCUGUCAAAUUAGUUAUAUAGAUAGAGCACGAAAUAAGGAACAAGUGUCGUGCCGAUUUAAUGCGCCUCUUGUUGCACAAAUACAUCUUUAAUGUUAUAGUAGUAUGAAAAGAGCCAUUUAUAAGGACCCUUCAGUUCCAGAAUUCCUCGCCCGUCCAAUUCCUCGCGGUAUGUUCGAAAAACAAAAACAAAUUACAUGGGCCUCGUUCAGCGAAGUUCGAAACAAAAUAGCCGAAACAAAUUCUACCUACGCUCGGCUACUGCCGAGGGCUUCACGAAGUUCGUUCUUCAUACCCUUCAGUUCCAGAAUUCCUCGCCCGUCCAAUUCCUCGCGGUAUGUUCGAAAAACAAAAACAAAUUACAUGGGCCUCGUUCAGCGAAGUUCGAAACAAAAUAGCCGAAACAAAUUCUACCUACGCUCGGCUACUGCCGAGGGCUUCACGAAGUUCGUUCUUCAUAUUUGUUAUUGUUUUCGAUCUACGUUCGGAGUAGCGGUUGCGAGAAUUCGUAAAUUAGAGAGAGAUGGAGAUGGAAGGAAGGGAGGAAAGAAAAUUGGUGUCAAAAACAAAGAGUAUUGCACCGACGUGAGAAUGACCUUUUUAAAAUAAGUAGAGUUAUUUAAAAAUAUUUAAGAUUAUAUUUAAUUAAUUUUUACGUAUAAAAUCGUGUGGGAUAUGAGCACGUAAGAAAAUGUGCUUUAGACAUGGCCGAAAUGUUCAUGUUUGAUUAUUGGCCCUUUGUGAAUCUAAUUGCAAGGCAUUGCCUUGUCGGCUAUACCCUGACACGCGCGAGAAUUUUCGGUCUUCGGUUUUGUCUUCUAAUUCUCUUUGCAUUUAGAGUUGACUGCUGUUGCAUUCAGAUGUGUUUUGCGUAUAGUUGCGUAAAAAUGAAAUAUUAUAAGGUAAGUGGAACUUAUUUGCAUUCAAUUAUUAAUUUUAAUUGCAGAAUUGACGAUUAAAAUGGAUGCGACUUCAACCUAGACGGUGUGAAUGGGAUUCAGUACGGAUUUACAAAGUUUUUUUAUCCAGUUUAAGUUGAUAAAACAAGUUUCUUAAAGGACCCAGCAGCCGGCAAAGGAGACUCGUGACACGCACUUAUGUACAUACAUAUGUACAUAUGUAUGUACAUAUGUACAUAUGUAUACAUGUUUAAUUUUGGAGAACAAUUUAAUGCUACCAAAAAAGUGAAGAUAAAUAAAAACAUGCAAUCCAUAAAUAAAUAAGGAAUAAAUUA